CUUCCACCCACAGAAUCAGUUCAGAACAGCAGACCUGAGAAGCGCCUUAGUCAUCCAUCAACUUUCUUAAAGAUCGUGACCUAAACGUCUGCUUUAAAGAUGAAGAAACUGCAUAGAAACAACAACAAAAAGCUGGUUACUGGGUUCCAGUGUGGGUGGAUUAAUCAGCAUGACCCACUGACGGAGAUCUGUCAGCAGUGCUUGGAUUCGUGCCUGCUGGAGAAUGCUGGUGAGGUCAGCAAGGAAAGUGGCCUAGAAGAGAUGCCAGGAGCCAUUUCCAGAGCGGCCCCUGUGCUCCACCUCCUGCAUCUGCACUUCAACAGCAAAAAGAAAAUAACAAAACUGAAGGAAAUUCCAAUCAAGAUGGAGAAAGUAAGACACAGCAGAUCUCCAUGACAACAGUGACCUCAGCUGCCAAGUGCCAGGCACAUGUUGAGGACUAUGAGCAUCAUCUGAUAGCUGCCCCACCCAAAGGAAGCUAGCAUGGUCCCCAUUUCACAGGUAAGAAAACUGUGGCCAUCUCAGUGGUAUUCUUGAUAUGAGAAGACAAGCUAGACUGACCCAUCUUGGCCAUACAAUCGUGUGUGUGUGUGUGUGUGUGUGUGUGUGUGUGUGUGUGUGUGUGUGUGUGUGUGUGUUUCUGAAUUAGCAC
rnacentral:lncRNA from 1 species